UCCUGUCCAACGUUAAUCGGGGCAGGGUGAGUCGACCCCUAAGGCGAGGCCGAAAGGCGUAGUCGAUGGGAAACAGGUUAAUAUUCCUGUACUUGGUGUUACUGCGAAGGGGGGACGGAGAAGGCUAUGUUGGCCGGGCGACGGUUGUCCCGGUUUAAGCGUGUAGGCUGGUUUUCCAGGCAAAUCCGGAAAAUCAAGGCUGAGGCGUGAUGACGAGGCACUACGGUGCUGAAGCAACAAAUGCCCUGCUUCCAGGAAAAGCCUCUAAGCAUCAGGUAACAUCAAAUCGUACCCCAAACCGACACAGGUGGUCAGGUAGAGAAUACCAAGGCGCUUGAGAGAACUCGGGUGAAGGAACUAGGCAAAAUGGUGCCGUAACU
rnacentral:rRNA from 1 species